rfam:Triticum aestivum genome assembly, contig: Triticum_aestivum_CS42_TGACv1_scaffold_320382_4BL
GAAGCAGGUGAUGACACCAAGACAGGGACAUCAGAACCAUGUAAUGGUUAUGAUAGACCAAGUCUAUAAUGGGAAGCUCUCUGAUGUUUU